UCAGGGAGUAGUUUAGUUGAAAAUAUUAGCUUUGGGAGUUGAAGACGGAGUUUGAUUACUUCCUCCUUGAU
rnacentral:tRNA from 1 species